rnacentral:rRNA from 1 species
UUGAACGCUGGCGGCAUGCCUUACACAUGCAAGUCGAACGGCAUCGCGGGAAAGCUUGCUUUCCUGGCGGCGAGUGGCGAACGGGUGAGUAACACAUCGGAACGUACCGGCUAGUGGGGGAUAACCCGUCGAAAGACGGGCUAAUACCGCAUACGCUCUUCGGAGGAAAGCAGGGGACCUUUGGGCCUUGCGCUAGCCGAGCGGCCGAUGUCCGAUUAGCUAGUUGGUGGGGUAAAGGCCCACCAAGGCGACGAUCGGUAGCGGGUCUGAGAGGACGAUCCGCCACACUGGGACUGAGACACGGCCCAGACUCCUACGGGAGGCAGCAGUGGGGAAUCUUGGACAAUGGGGGCAACCCUGAUCCAGCAAUGCCGCGUGGGUGAAGAAGGCCUUCGGGUUGUAAAGCCCUUUCGGCAGGGAAGAAAUCGGCGGGGCGAAUAACCCUGCUGGAUGACGGUACCUGCAGAAGAAGCACCGGCUAACUACGUG